rnacentral:rRNA from 1 species
UACGGAGGGUGCAAGCGUUAAUCGGAAUUACUGGGCGUAAAGCGUGCGCAGGCGGUUUGUUAAGUCUGUUGUGAAAUCCCCGAGCUCAACUUGGGAAUUGCAAUGGAUACUGGCAGGCUGGAGUAUGGUAGAGGAAGGUGGAAUUCCCGGUGUAGCAGUGAAAUGCGUAGAGAUCGGGAGGAACACCAGUGGCGAAGGCGGCUUGCUGGGCAGAUACUGACACUGAGGCGCGACAGCGUGGGGAGCAAACAGG